rnacentral:lncRNA from 1 species
GGAUGUCAAAUAAGUUGCCACCAACAGAUUUAUCAGAUGAAUCGUAGCCAUCACAAAAGGCUGAUGGAAUCAAAGGUCCAAUUGGGAUCAAAUUCAUUCCAUCAACAGCUUUGAUUGAUGCUUCUUCUAACUCAUUAAAAGUAUUGACCAGUACACAAGCUGUAGACUCUUGUUCUAAGAUCUUAAUAUGUUCAUGAAAAGAAGGAACUACAGAAGGAAAUAAUGGAUCAUUCGGAAAGAAAAAGGUCGGCAAAUCCUCCUUUUGAAACAAGGAAAGGUCAGGCAAUUUUAUGGAAAUUGAAGAGUAAUCAACUUCACGAACUCCAUCAUAAAUUCCAUCAUGGCUAUUGAAGUACCUGUGAUAUAAGGCAAACGAGGUGGCACACUGGAUAACUAAAAAAGCCGAAGGAACAUUCAUCUCACUCGCCAAUUCUGCCACCCAAGGCAGCAAAAUAGUGUAGAUUGCAAAGGUCACCGGUCGGCCCUCGUUUGAUGAGGCUUGGAUCAACUUGGUAAGGUCUUUAGAACCGAAACACUUAACAUCUGAUAAAAAGCACGCGAAGUCGCGGUUUUUCAUAGAUUUUUCAUCAUCAUAGCCAUCCGAAAAGGAUGCAAAGGAGAGACCAUUAAAGGCUGGAGGGUUUUUAAUGCGACUAAGGCCAUAAACCGUGAUGGCAAAGGUGACUUGUGCACCAGCUCUUGCUAAGUUUUUGGCUAGCUGAAGAGUAGGGUUGAUGUGGCCUUGGGCUGGUAUGGCAGUGACGAGAAAGUGCUGGUGCUGGUGCUUGAUGUCCAUGGUUGAUGCUCAAUUGUUUUUCUUCUGAGUACAUAAAAUCUAUACUUAUAUACAACGGGAGAGGUUCCUUUUUUGGUAUAAAUAAUUUAUGUCAUUUAAUGUUAUAUCAAAAAUACCUUUUAAAAUUUGUUUUCAAACCACUCAAAUUCUAUCUUUUUUUUCUAUCAUGAUUUGACUCUUUAAGUACAACUGCUCACAUCCUGUCUUUUUCUCUACCAUAAUUUAAAUAUAAUAACUUCCUAAAUAAAAAAGAAUAGUUUUAUAGAUAUCUAAAAGCAAAAAUAUAUACAUGCUCUAACAUGAUUUUACAGAUAAUAACUUAAUGUAAAAAAAGAAUAAUUAAUCAUAUAUUUUUAUAAUAAGCACACACACACGUAGAGUGUACCAAUAGCACUUGUGGUUAAUGACCCUUGAGGAAAAGGCAAACUUACAUUCAAACUCGAGUUAAUGACUUUUGUGCUUCAAUUUGUGAGUUGUGUUUGGAAGUCAAGCAAAUUCUUAGUUGGAACUCUAUCAUAUGUACCAUUGUACCUUGGCUUUAUUCACUUGAUUCUGCUCCUGCCCUAGUGAAUUGCCGCUUUACUCCAUAAUCCAAAAUUUCCCCAAUGCUGAAUGACUGGAACACGUAGCAUAUAUAUAAAAGGGGCCAAGAAGGUAUUUAAUGUUGAAAAGUGUUGCCUACCAAACACUGAAGCAAACAAUUAUGUGACGUUGAAUGGUCAUCUUAUUGUUUCGAUAUCAAUUAAGUUUCUUCCCAAAGAUAAGACAGAACCGUCAAAUGCUCGCGUACGUUGAUUGGCCACUCAAAGUUAACAUUUUCAGUCCAAGUCUUGUAAGAAAGUUCUGAAAUGUGUGAAGAGCCAUUUUGUCAAGCAUAUUUAUUGCUUCCUCCAUCCUUUGACAGUUUUGUUUUUUAUUUUCAUCCAUCUCAAAUUAUAGUUUACUUUUUAAUUAAAAAAUAUAAUUAAUUUUAAAUUCUCUAGAAUAUCCUUAUUUAUUUUGCUUUAUUAUCAGUGAAAUUAACUUACCUUAUUCAUUAAUUGCUUUGAUAUGUGUCUUGAAUGGUGCGACUUUUCAUCAAUACCAUUGUUGCAAUUAAUGUAAAGUAUAAUGGUUAGUUAUACUAAUAAUAUUAAUGUAAAGGCAUUUUAGUAAGAUAGUGGGCUAGAUAUAUUUUUGGGAAAAUCGUUCAAAACGUCCCUCACAUUUUAUAAAAUGACUUUUUUCGUCUUUUACUUUUAAAAGUGUACUUUUACGUCCCUUACAAAUUUAUAUUAAUCAAAUUUAGUCCCUAUCUAGGUUUUCGAUUAGUUUUUGGUUGGAAUUCAUCACAUGCCUUGCAUGUGAUCAUUUAUUAGGGGCAAAAUUACCAAAUCAAAAUUUACAUAAUCCAUCUAUAGUCUCUUACAUUUCACAAAAUGAAUUGUUUCGUCCCUUACAUUUCAUAAAAUAAAUUUUUUCAUCCCUCACAUUUCACAAAAUGAAUUUUUUUAUCUCUUAUUGACCAUGUGUACAAAUAGUUUUUUUUUAAUUCAUGUAUAUAUCUAUUUGAUUUCAUUUAAACAGUACAAAUAAUAUGUUAUAUAUCUCUAUUUGAUUUCACCUAAACAGAUUGAUACAUACAUGGGUUUAAAUCUAAUAAUUUUAUUUUAAAUAUAUAUAUAUAUAUAUAUGUGUGUGUGUGUGUGAUUUCACCUUGUGAAUCUAUUCAAUAUUUGUAGCCUUUUCUAUUUUAGUAAUAAUUCAUUUAUUGAGUUGUUUAAUUAGAGGAUCUAAUUAAUAGGUGUUAAUUCGAAUUCUAUAGUCAUGUUAACAAAUUGCAGUUUAAAUCUAAAAUUUUUAUUCGCUACUUUUAAGACCAAUAGUUGAAUUUCUUGCCUUAUAAUUAUUUUAAAAUUUGAAAGUGUCAAUUACUUACUUCUUUUUGUCAUACUUUUCCUUUGUUUAUUUUUUUCUGUCUAAAUUUAAUUCGAUAUAAACACUUGAUAAUGUUUAGAAUUAAAUGUCUUCUUUGUUUUCAAUUUUUAAGUAAAAGGAAUGAACAUGAGUGAAAAACUAACAAUUUUUUUAAAAAUCCCGUAUAUAUCUAUUUUAAUUUCACAUGAACAGUACGUUCAGGAGAAAUCAAAUAGAGAUAUAUUACAUGCUAUUCGUAUUGUUCAGGUGAGAUCAAAUAGAUAUAUACAUUAGUUUAAAAAAAAAGUUAUUCGUAUACAUGAAUAAUGAGGGAUGAAAAAAUUUAUUUUGUAAAAUAUGAGGGACAAAACAAUUCAUUUUGUGAAAUGUGAAGGACAAAAAAAUUCAUUUUAUGAAAUGUGAGAGACUAUGGAUUGGAUGAUGUAAAUUUUGAUGUAACAAUUUUACCCUUCAAAAAUGAUCACGUGCAAGGCACGUGGUGGAUUCCAACAAAAAAUUAGUCGAAAACCUAGAUAAGGACCAGAUUUGAUCAAUGUGAAUUUAUAAGGGACGUAAAAAUACAUUUUUAAAAAUGAGGGACGAAAAAAGUCUUUUUGCAAAAUGUGAGGGACGUUUUGAACGAUUUUUCCUUUAUUUUUCUAAUAAAAUUAACUAAUUUUUCUUAAAUUAUGUGAAAAAAAUCAAAACCAUCAAAGUGAGAUGGAGGGAAUAUAUUUAAUAGGGCAAUUUCUGUUUGUUUAUCCUUGUUUUAUUUUGCACUCAUGAAUAUUUAUUUGUUGAAAAUUGCCCUGAUGCUCUCUUAGUCCGACGUUUUUUUUUUUACCAUUUCAAUUUUAUCCUACAAUGCCGCUGAUUAUGUAAUUUUACUUCGACCAUUUGAACUUUACACUCUACUUUAUUACUUCUUAAAUUGGUGAAAACGAUCCUAAUUAAGCCAAAUAUUUAGUAUUUACGCUUCGAUACUUCUUUUGAUGAGUUUGAAAUUGUCUUUAAUCUUGAGUUAUUUAUUUGUCGAAUCGGAUUUAAACAAAUUUUUGUUAUAUCGGGACUCUAGUAGCUUGAAAUUUUUUCAUAUAAAACUAAAGUUUGAUGCCAUUUUAUUUUUAUUGACCUAAGAUUUUUGUCAAUUUUGGUACAUUAACAAGCAUUAUAUGUUUCUCAUGCAUGUUUCGCUUGAUUUAUUAUUGACGAACCAAAUUCGAAAAACAUGUUAGCAAAUCGAGCUCAAUUCAAAUAUUGAAUAUGUUAAUUCAUUUUGCAACUCAAUCUUUAUAACCCCUAUCAGUGCACGUUCACAUUGUUAAGCCACUAUGGUGAAGAAACGUCUGUGCUUAAGCAGCACUUCGAAACAAGGCAGAGACUGAGUCAAAGUGAGGCCAUUGUAAUUUUCAAAAAAUCAAGUGCAGCAAAUUCACCAAAAAAAAAAAAUUUCUUUCCUUGAAAGAAGGAAAUCCACAUUUAAAGCUGUAUACGGUCCCAAGCAGCCUUUUUUUUUUUUUUUUAAAGGAAUUUUCAACAAUACAUGAUUAAUUGAUUACAAAAACUGAUUUUGAUGGACUGAGACUCAAACACUGCCCUUUUACAAAAAUUUGUAUCAUUCCCACUCCAAAUUCUGCAAGAAGUUUCUGAAAUUGUUGUAUGAAGAUCCAUUUUCCUUCACAGCCUCCAUCGCCAUACCUCUCCAUUUAGCAACAUUUUUUCUCAUUUCUUCCCCUUUUUCACCACCUCCCAUCACAAUAUCCAAGCACCUCCUGAUCUCUGCUCUUUCCACCACACCUUCUUCAUUAGCUUUUGCUCUCACCCCAAUACCCCAAACUUCCUCUAUCAUCUUUGCAUUCGUUGUCUGAUCAGAUAAAUGUGGACAUCCCACAAUUGGAACCCCAGCAACAAUACUCUCCAGUGUUGAAUUCCACCCACAGUGUGUGAGAAAACACCCUAUUGACCUGUGACAGAGCACCUCCAUUUGUGAACACCAUGGCACUAUCAUCCCCUCUUCACUUGAAAUAUUUUCUAUCACUGCCUUUACUUCUUCUUCCUGUUCGUUAUCUGCUCGUAACACGAGCAAAUAAGACCUUCCAGCUUCCUUUAAUCCAUGCAAAAUCUCCAUCUUUUCUUCUUUCUUUAAACUCAAAAGGCUUCCGAAUGAUGCAUAAACCACUGACCUUUCUGGCUUUGAGUCCAACCACUGAAGAUAGUCUUUUUCCGCGAUGUCAUGUAAGUCGCCACCAAAAGUUUUAUCAGUUGAAUCAUUGCCAUCACAAAAGGCUGAAGGAAUCAAAGGUCCAAUUGGGAUUAAAUUCAUUCCAUCAACAGCUUUGAUUGAUGCUUCUUCUAACUCGUUAAAAGUAUUGACCAGUACACAAGCUGUAGAGUCUUGUUCUAAGAUCUUAAUAUGUUCAUGAAAAGAAGGGACUAGAGAAGGAAAUAAUGGAUCAUUCGGAAAGAAAAAGGUCGGCAAAUCCUCCUUUUGAAACAAGGAAAGAUCAGGCAAUUAUAUGGAAAUUGAAGAGUAAUCAACUUCACGAACUCCAUCAUAAAUUCCAUCAUAGCUAUUGAAGUACCUGUGAUAUAAGGCAAAGGAGGUGGCACACUGGAUAAAUAAAAAAGCCGAAGGAACAUUCAUCUCAGUCGCCAAUUCUGCCACCCAAGGCAGCAAAAUAGUGUAGAUUGCAAAGGUCACCGGUCGGCCCUCGUUUGAUGAAGCUUGGAUCAGCUUGGUAAGGUCUUUAGGAGCGAAACACUUAACAUCUGAUAAAAAGCAAGCGAAAUCG